AGCAGCCGCGGUAAUUCCCAGCUCCAAUAGCGUAUAUUAAAGUUGUUGCAGUUAAAAAGCUCGUAGUUGAAUUUCGGGGUCAGUAGRUCGGUCGUGCCACUGGUAUGAACUGGUUUUACUGAUUCCUCCCUCUUGAAGAACUGUAAUGUCAUUAAUUUGGUGUUGUAGGGAAUCAAGACUGUUACUUUGAAAAAAUUAGAGUGUUUAAAGCAGGCUUUAGCUUGAAUACAUUAGCAUGGAAUAAUGAAAUAGGACGUUUGAUCCUAUUUUGUUGGUUUCUAGGAUUGACGUAAUGAUUAAUAGGGAUAGUUGGGGGCAUUAGUAUUCAAUUGUCAGAGGUGAAAUUCUUGGAUUUAUUGAAGACUAACUACUGCGAAAGCAUUUGCCAAGGAUGUUUUCAUUAAUCAAGAACGAAAGUUAGGGGAUCGAAGACGAUCAGAUACCGUCGUAGUCUUAACCAUAAACUAUGCCGACUAGGGAUCAAAGGAUGUUAAUUUUUUAAUGACUCA
rnacentral:rRNA from 1 species